rnacentral:rRNA from 1 species
UUAAGCGACUAAGCGUACACGGUGGAUGCCCUGGCAGUCAGAGGCGAUGAAGGACGUGCUAAUCUGCGAUAAGCGUCGGUAAGGUGAUAUGAACCGUUAUAACCGGCGAUUUCCGAAUGGGGAAACCCAGUGUGAUUCGUCACACUAUCAUUAACUGAAUCCAUAGGUUAAUGAGGCGAACCGGGGGAACUGAAACAUCUAAGUACCCCGAGGAAAAGAAAUCAACCGAGAUUCCCCCAGUAGCGGCGAGCGAACGGGGAGGAGCCCAGAGCCUGAAUCAGUGUGUGUGUUAGUGGAAGCGUCUGGAAAGGCGCGCGAUACAGGGUGACAGCCCCGUACACAAAAAUGCACAUGCUGUGAGCUCGAUGAGUAGGGCGGGACACGUGGUAUCCUGUCUGAAUAUGGGGGGACCAUCCUCCAAGGCUAAAUACUCCUGACUGACCGAUAGUGAACCAGUACCGUGAGGGAAAGGCGAAAAGAACCCCGGCGAGGGGAGUGAAAAGAACCUGAAACCGUGUACGUACAAGCAGUGGGAGCACAGAGCAAUCUGUGUGACUGCGUACCUUUUGUAUAAUGGGUCAGCGACUUAUAUUCUGUAGCAAGGUUAACCGAAUAGGGGAGCCGAAGGGAAACCGAGUCUUAACCGGGCGUUAAGUUGCAGGGUAUAGACCCGAAACCCGGUGAUCUAGCCAUGGGCAGGUUGAAGGUUGGGUAACACUAACUGGAGGACCGAACCGACUAAUGUUGAAAAAUUAGCGGAUGACUUGUGGCUGGGGGUGAAAGGCCAAUCAAACCGGGAGAUAGCUGGUUCUCCCCGAAAGCUAUUUAGGUAGCGCCUCGUGAAUUCAUCUCCGGGGGUAGAGCACUGUUUCGGCAAGGGGGUCAUCCCGACUUACCAACCCGAUGCAAACUGCGAAUACCGGAGAAUGUUAUCACGGGAGACACACGGCGGGUGCUAACGUCCGUCGUGAAGAGGGAAACAACCCAGACCGCCAGCUAAGGUCCCAAAGUCAUGGUUAAGUGGGAAACGAUGUGGGAAGGCCCAGACAGCCAGGAUGUUGGCUUAGAAGCAGCCAUCAUUUAAAGAAAGCGUAAUAGCUCACUGGUCGAGUCGGCCUGCGCGGAAGAUGUAACGGGGCUAAACCAUGCACCGAAGCUGCGGCAGCGACACUGUGUGUUGUUGGGUAGGGGAGCGUUCUGUAAGCCUGUGAAGGUGUGCUGUGAGGCAUGCUGGAGGUAUCAGAAGUGCGAAUGCUGACAUAAGUAACGAUAAAGCGGGUGAAAAGCCCGCUCGCCGGAAGACCAAGGGUUCCUGUCCAACGUUAAUCGGGGCAGGGUGAGUCGACCCCUAAGGCGAGGCCGAAAGGCGUAGUCGAUGGGAAACAGGUUAAUAUUCCUGUACUUGGUGUUACUGCGAAGGGGGGACGGAGAAGGCUAUGUUGGCCGGGCGACGGUUGUCCCGGUUUAAGCGUGUAGGCUGGUUUUCCAGGCAAAUCCGGAAAAUCAAGGCUGAGGCGUGAUGACGAGGCACUACGGUGCUGAAGCAACAAAUGCCCUGCUUCCAGGAAAAGCCUCUAAGCAUCAGGUAACAUCAAAUCGUACCCCAAACCGACACAGGUGGUCAGGUAGAGAAUACCAAGGCGCUUGAGAGAACUCGGGUGAAGGAACUAGGCAAAAUGGUGCCGUAACUUCGGGAGAAGGCACGCUGAUAUGUAGGUGAAGUCCCUCGCGGAUGGAGCUGAAAUCAGUCGAAGAUACCAGCUGGCUGCAACUGUUUAUUAAAAACACAGCACUGUGCAAACACGAAAGUGGACGUAUACGGUGUGACGCCUGCCCGGUGCCGGAAGGUUAAUUGAUGGGGUCAGCGCAAGCGAAGCUCUUGAUCGAAGCCCCGGUAAACGGCGGCCGUAACUAUAACGGUCCUAAGGUAGCGAAAUUCCUUGUCGGGUAAGUUCCGACCUGCACGAAUGGCGUAAUGAUGGCCAGGCUGUCUCCACCCGAGACUCAGUGAAAUUGAACUCGCUGUGAAGAUGCAGUGUACCCGCGGCAAGACGGAAAGACCCCGUGAACCUUUACUAUAGCUUGACACUGAACAUUGAGCCUUGAUGUGUAGGAUAGGUGGGAGGCUUUGAAGUGUGGACGCCAGUCUGCAUGGAGCCGACCUUGAAAUACCACCCUUUAAUGUUUGAUGUUCUAACGUGGACCCGUGAUCCGGGUUGCGGACAGUGUCUGGUGGGUAGUUUGACUGGGGCGGUCUCCUCCUAAAGAGUAACGGAGGAGCACGAAGGUUGGCUAAUCCUGGUCGGACAUCAGGAGGUUAGUGCAAUGGCAUAAGCCAGCUUGACUGCGAGCGUGACGGCGCGAGCAGGUGCGAAAGCAGGUCAUAGUGAUCCGGUGGUUCUGAAUGGAAGGGCCAUCGCUCAACGGAUAAAAGGUACUCCGGGGAUAACAGGCUGAUACCGCCCAAGAGUUCAUAUCGACGGCGGUGUUUGGCACCUCGAUGUCGGCUCAUCACAUCCUGGGGCUGAAGUAGGUCCCAAGGGUAUGGCUGUUCGCCAUUUAAAGUGGUACGCGAGCUGGGUUUAGAACGUCGUGAGACAGUUCGGUCCCUAUCUGCCGUGGGCGCUGGAGAACUGAGGGGGGCUGCUCCUAGUACGAGAGGACCGGAGUGGACGCAUCACUGGUGUUCGGGUUGUCAUGCCAAUGGCACUGCCCGGUAGCUAAAUGCGGAAGAGAUAAGUGCUGAAAGCAUCUAAGCACGAAACUUGCCCCGAGAUGAGUUCUCCCUGACCCUUUAAGGGUCCUGAAGGAACGUUGAAGACGACGACGUUGAUAGGCCGGGUGUGUAAGCGCAGCGAUGCGUUGAGCUAACCGGUACUAAUGAACCGUGAGGCUUAACCUU